GACGGAGGGUGCUAGCGUUGUUCGGAAUCACUGGGCGUAAAGGGCGCGCAGGCGGCCGCCCGCGUCGGACGUGAAAGCCCGGGGCUCAACCCCGGAACGGCGUCCGAUACGGGGCGGCUCGAGGCCGGGAGAGGGGGGUGGAAUACCCAGUGUAGAGGUGAAAUUCGUAGAUAUUGGGUGGAACACCGGUGGCGAAAGCGGCCCCCUGGCCCGGUCCUGACGCUGAGGCGCGAAAGCGUGGGGAGCAAACAGG
rnacentral:rRNA from 1 species